AACGAACGCUGGCGGCAGGCUUAACACAUGCAAGUCGAGCGCCCCGCAAGGGGAGCGGCAGACGGGUGAGUAACGCGUGGGAACGUACCUUUUGGUUCGGAACAACUCCGGGAAACUGGAGCUAAUACCGGAUAAGCCCUAACGGGGAAAGAUUUAUCGCCGAAAGAUCGGCCCGCGUCUGAUUAGCUAGUUGGUGAGGUAACGGCUCACCAAGGCGACGAUCAGUAGCUGGUCUGAGAGGAUGAUCAGCCACACUGGGACUGAGACACGGCCCAGACUCCUACGGGAGGCAGCAGUGGGGAAUAUUGGACAAUGGGCGCAAGCCUGAUCCAGCCAUGCCGCGUGAGUGAUGAAGGCCUUAGGGUUGUAAAGCUCUUUUGUCCGGGAAGAUAAUGACUGUACCGGAAGAAUAAGCCCCGGCUAACUGCGU
rnacentral:rRNA from 1 species